rnacentral:rRNA from 1 species
GACGACCUGGCGAACGUUGUUCGGAAUCGACUGGGCUUAACGAGGGUGCGUAGGCGGCUUAGCAAGUCAGGUGUGAAAAGCCCCCGGCUCAACCGGGGAACCUGGCGCUUGAAACUGCUUGAAGCUCGAGUCAGCUAGAGGGUACACGGGAAACUUCCAAGUUGGAGCGGUGGAAAUGAUGUUGAUAUUGGAAGGUGAAGCAACCGGACGGCGAAAGCGGUGUUACUGGGGCUGGUACUGACGCUGAGGCACGAAAGCCAAGGGGAGCGGAA